UAUCCAUGGGCUUAUUUGAAAGAUAGAAAGUAUCUCUAAAUGAAGGUGGAGGAGAUGGGAAGAGGCUCAGUCCAUGAAGCACUUGCCCUGCAAGCAUGGGAACUUGACAUUUCCAGUCACCAAGAAGGUCAGAGUACAUAUGGUAACCUGUCUCGAGGCCCAGCACUUGGGAGGCAGAGAUGGCAUCUCUGGGGCAAAGCAGACUAGCUGAAUCAGUUAGGCUCCUAGUCUGAGUGUGAGGUAAGAGGAUCAAGAGUUCAAAGCCAGACUGGGUAACUUAUCAACACUCUGUUUCAAAAUUUAAAAAGCCUGAUGGUUCACACCUGUAAUCCCAGAACUCAGGAGGCUAAGUCAGGCAGAUCUCUGUGAGUUUGAGGCUAGCCUAAGUCUACAUAGCAAGUUCUUGGCCAGCCAGGCCUACACAGUGAGAUCCUGUCAAAGAAAAAACAAAACAUCAAAAUACUAAGGGCUGUCUUAUCAGUGAUUCAGAGCUUGAAUCCCAUCAAAUGAGCACACUGAGCGUGUGUGGAUGUCUUGUCAUCAUUCCCGAACGAUACGGCAUACUGACUGACACAGCAUUUACCUUAUAUUAGAUACAGCAAACAACUGUGAGACAGUGAAAUCCAAGGGAAGGUGCACACAGGCUCUAUGCAAAUAUUUUGUGUAGGAGACCUGAGGAUUCUUGGGUCCUGGUAUCUCUGGGAUGUCCAGAGUCCAAUGCACCCUGGUACUGAGGCGGCACUUGGCUUCAUUAUCUCCAUAGGAAAUGGACUAACAUCGGUGACUCCCAUUUUCAGAGGGCUUAAGCGACUUCUGAGCUCUAUUCCUAAGGUUUCUGAGCCCACAGGCCUGGGCGAGGCCCAGCGGUUACAUUUCUCACAAGUUCUCAAGGGGAUGCCGGGGAUGCUAGUAGGGACCACAUUUCAAGGAGCAUGGCUCAGGCCCUGGCUUGCUUCCACUGUGAAAGAACAUCCCUUUUCCUCCCCGUGCUUGGCUGCUCUGCAGGUGAUCGUCCACUUUAGGACCGUCUGGUUAGAUAGCAUCCGUGGGAUCUUACGAGAGUAGCAGUGGGUCGGGGAUGGUGUAUAGACGUUGUGACCCUUGACCAGUUUGGUUUGGGCAGGAUCUGCUGGACUGGCUGGUUAAGUUGGGAUUUUUCUCAUGCAGUCUUUGCAAGCAAGAAACUAAAACUCCUGUCUGUGUUCACAGGUAAGAGUACUGAGUUCUGUGUCACCCAGUCUUAGAAGCAAUGGUCCCCAGUGAGACGUGGAACCCUGCUCCUUUCACUGGAGGAUGGUGUUUAGGAACCAGGACUUGGGUGCUGUGUACACUCCCUGAUGCUGGGUCACUGCUUCGAGGCUCCAUCAGUGCACAGAGCUAGUACACACUUGUAUGUAUACAGACACAUGCAACCACAGCAAUCCAUCUGUCGUAUGUUAAAAUAAACAUGACUCCGUAUUAACAGCGGAAAAGAACUUUACAAUGUUCAUUUGUGAAAAGAAACAAGAGUUUCCUAGACAUGGCACUGGCAACAGGAGACACGCUGCAAAGACUACCCAGUGAUACGUCAGACUGCAAAAGAGGAGCUAGAACCCGGUAGGCACACAAAAGGCUGGUACAGUCACAUGCCUGGCCAUUCUCACCCCAGAUCCUAAAUUUCCAACAAUAUUGAAAAAUGUAAGUAUAAAGGAAACCACUCAUUGUCAUGGAUAACUUGGUGGUUGCAAAGAUCAGAAAGAAAACACCACACAACCAAUCACUGCCCAAGAAUCAAGAACGGCUUGUUGAAGCUGCGUGUGGUAGCACCACCUUUGAACCCAGAGCUCAGGUGGCAGAGGCAGGUAGAUCUGAGUUCAAACCCAGCCUGGCCUACGUGGUGAGUUCCAGGCCAGCCAGAUCUACACAGUAAGACCCACUUUCAGAAAACCAUAAAACAACAAACAAGAACAGAUAGUUAGGGCUUGACUUAUCUGAUGGCAGCCUUUCCCAUCAUGCAAAGCACCACACAGCCAAUCAGGGGACUUCUCUGUCUCUCUGAUAGGAAUUCUUAACUCUCAAAGGGAUUCACUGGAAAUAUUCACUGAAAAUAUUCCUUUAUCUUUAAAGUUCCUAAGCUGUACCAAAGGCUUAGAGAAAAAUUUUCAAGAAGUCAGACAUCCACAGACUGUUCUAAGUUUAGAAAACAUGGACUCUGCUGCUGGAAGUGGAGACAUCCAGGGGCCUGAGCAUCUGCUAUCGAUGAGAGGGAGGCUAUGCCAAGAGACCCCGAGCCUGCUGCACCACUGCUUGCUCCUGGUGUUGGACAUCCUAUUUUAAGCUUUAGAACUCAAUUAAUGUUCAUAGUUCUACUGAAUGGUUUCUGACCUGAGAUCCAGAGAUUUAAAAUAUCAGGGCCUGGACCUGGAGAGAUGGCUCAGCAGUUACAAGCACUGGCUGCUCUUCCAGAGGACCUGGGUUUCAGUUCUCAGCACCCACAUGGCAGCUCACAGUUGUCCGUACUGCGAGUCUCAGGGGACCCAACCCAUUCUUCUGGUCUCAUUGGGGAUCAGAUACAAGCAAUUCAUAAACAUGUAUGCAGACAGAACCCCAGUGCACAUAAAAACUGGCUCAGCCACUAGGAGUACUUGUUGCUCUUACACAGGACUCACGUUUAGUUCCCAGCACCCACACGAUGGCUCAGAACCAUGAGUAACUCCAGUUCCAGAGCUCUGUGGCAGAUGCCAUGCAGGAGAGACUACAGUGGGCGGGUGAGCUUCCUGGAGACAGUACACUGUUUUGCACAGUUGCAAUGGAGGUAGCUUGGAGAGGCACAGACCCUGUAUAACAUCUUGCAGUUGCUGUGCCUUCUCACAUCUGUCCUUGCUAUCUGCCUCCUGAAUCUGGCAUGGUGGAAUUGAGUGUGGGGAGACCCUCACUGCCCAUAGUCUGGUGUGACUGCUUCCUGGGAGACCGCCCACUCUCUUGGGCAAUUUCCUGUAGAUCAAAACGAAGAUGAACUUUCUCGAUAUGAUGCUGUUUAGAUGAAUUCCUGGUUUCGUCUUUUUGGGGAGUUAGGGGAGCUGACAGAAAGUUUAAGAAGACGGUUUAGAUUGUUCUGACAGAAAGAUAUAGUUAUUAGAAUGAGGAGCAGAACGUGCCCCCUCCCUUGUAGAACAGCGAGGGCUGCAGAAGUUAGAGAAGGCAUGCAGUGAGCUUCCAUGCCUUACAAGCUUGUAACUGUACUAGGAAGAGAAAGUAACAAGUUAAUGAUCAAAGGAAACACUUCCUUCCAGAUAGGGCCUGAGUUCCUGGAGCUUGUGAUCUAGGGAUGUAGUCACUGGUUUCAGUGUGCGCCAUGAAAAGAUAGGGUUAUGGAUAAAGAAUAAGUAUUUCUGAGUAUGAGAAUAGAGAACAGGUGAUUAGCCAGUUUAGCUAAACAAGACGCCAGAAACAAGAUGUAAGACAGAUGAUUUGUUUCUUGAUAAAUUCAAACUGUCAUCAGCUAAGCGUAGGGAAAAACUUGCUACUAUAGAGUGCCUCGCUUAAACUUGGUUAAUAAAUGGCAAAAAGAAUUAUUGCUUUGGGGUUACAAUGAACCCGUGCAGAGAAAAGACAGACAGGAAAUGUGUAGUUAGGUAUGAGUUUCGAAAGAAGAACGCAUCCGCCAUAAUCCUGUUGUAAUUCUCCUGUGUAAUAAUUUUAAUGUUUUUGAAGACUAUGUGAUUUUGUGGUGAUUGUUUUUAGAGAAUAUGUAACAUGGCUAUGAGGCAAUCCUUGUCUAACAUAGAGAAUUUUGUCUUAGGGGCUAAGGGAAAAAACAAAGUGGUUAGAUCUUGCUUUAUCCACAAAGUGUGUGAGUGUGUGCCAGCUUUAGUUUGGUCAUUGACCCCACAUCCCCUCUCCUUGGAUGGCUGACCAUGCUGUCUGAGCUAGUGUCAACAGAUAUAGCGCCCUCUUCUGGCCAUCACAAGUAUUGCAUUCACAUGACGCACUUAUAUGCAGGCAAAAUACUCAAAAUGUAUCUAAAAAAAAUGUUUAAGUUAAAUCAUUCUCCCAGAACCUGUACUGUGGAAUUAAACCUUUUGCUAUACUGUAGCACACUCUGCAACAACUGUUCCAGCUCACUCCUCUGUUUUCUGGUGCUCCCCUCCCCCCUCAAUUCACUGUCCUCCAAACAUAGGAAUUUUCCAUGCCUCUGGGCCUUAGCUAAUGUCGCCCUUUUCCCAGUCUACCUGUGAACUUCUGAUGCUCUGUAAGCUCAGCUAGCACUUUCAAGAUGGGGCAAUAACAGGGCUGGCUGAGCUAAGUGGAUCACCUCCAGAAGCCAGGGACACCUCCCUUCUAAGUCCCAUAUACCCAACAACUGAAGGGUUCCCCUCUUCACUUAGAGAGGAGAAAGCCAUGGCUUACUUAGCCAAGCUCAGGCUGUUUAAGAUCAGGACGGAGAUCAGAACACAGGCUAGAAUCCAAAGUGUUGUUCUUUCCACUGAGCCCAGGUGCCCUUCCCGGUCUUGCCCUCUGUCUUAAGAGAAAAACCUCAGCCAACAGUACACACUUACUUUCCUAUACGCCAUCCCACUACUGGCAAGACUAUGGGCUUUCGGGACGCAGGACUCUGGCAAAGGCGGAGCGAGAGCUCGGUGGAAGGAGUACUCUUUUCUAAUUUAAGCACCUGGGAGCCAAGUUAUUGAUGAGGUCAUUUACCGACGGGCCAAGGACUCAGCAGAUUUCCCUGCCACAGUGGAUCUAUGCACCAACCAGCAGUUCUUACUGCUUCCUUCAGUGGGCGGAGAGGGAUUGGAUGAAAUGGUCAAAACGCAGCGGAGCUGACUUGGAAGGCAGAUGAAAAAAAAAAAAAACGCUGUGUUUUCCUGGCAUCCAGCCUUCGUUUUGUUUUGUUUUUUGUUUUUUUUUUUUCUUUUUUCCCAGCUCAGGUAAAGAGAUGAUGUCACUACACAGUGCUGGCCCAGAGGCCUGGAAGCAAGACCCUACCAUGUGACGUCCUCACAGACACAAGCUGGAAUUUCCUAGCAGAGCAAUGUCACUUUUCUGCAGCCACUGGUGCUGCACACUAAAAAUAUCACUGACCCCUAACUGUCAGGUGCCCCCCUUUGCACUUGGGAAAUGGGCUCUGCAAACGACCAGCGCGGAGCUCACCGGCACCCAAGGUAGAGCCUGUGAUAAGUUACCGAAGUGUUAAACAAGUCCGUCAGGUGAACUUGCUGUGUCAACACGAACUUUUCAUGAUGUGAAACAAAAGAAAUAUUUUCCUAGGACCACCUCAGAUGCAUGCUUGGGCACGGAUAGCUGCAGAUGCGAGGCCCAGGCAGAAAGGCGUGUCAUACACGCUGAGCCACUUAGAGUCUUGUUGCCAGAGUGGGAGAAAGUUUGCCUUGGCAGGUAAAUGAAUGAAGGGGCAACCAUCAAAUACCAUCUGCUAUUUUAAAACACGCUAUUUGUGUCUCAAGUGCACAUGUGCCUCCUGUUGCUAUUUGGACGGGGGACGAGAAGCCGUCUCUCGUUCCAUUUACAGCCUUUGGCUUCAGCAGCAGCAAGGGCUGACCAGGCAGGAGGAGGUAUGGCUGUGACUAUUUCUGUGAAGAACUGUAAUUGCUGCUUAGGAAACCUCCUAAAUGUUUCAGGAAGCUCGGAAAGAUGGGGACAUGAAGUCACUUCAUUCCUUCCCAGAAUACACGGGGCCACCGGAGUCCAUUAGGCUGCUGCUCCUUGACAAGCCACUCGUCCAAUAAGAGAGCCAGAGGCGCAAGAGGAGCAGCGGCACGCUUAUUCUCCAGGGAUCCUCCCCUCCAAGGUUUCAUGGGGUGCCCACGGAGCUCGGCUGUCCCUGCAGAGCAUUAAGUAGGAAAGAGCCCCAAGGUACUGCAAGAACUGACCUUGCUGUCAAUAAAGGACGGAUCCACCUGAGAGUCAAGGCAGUGAAUUAGAACCAAAGAGAAUAGGGCUCCGGCCAAGGUCAGUGCCCACUUCAUUCAGUGCCCCUUUAAGUACAUGAACUUUCCAAAAGGCAGUCAAAUCCAUGGGUGGCCUCAACGAUUACAGGUCACUGAGAAAAUGCAAUACACAAUGAAGCCCAUAAUUUCAGACAAUGAGUAGAGUAUAUGUUAAUAAAAGAAAUAUGAUAAACAGAAAAGGAGACAUCAGACAGACACAGGGGGAUUGGAUUAUGCCAAAGCUGGAGGUUUUUCAAAGCCAGAGUGCUAGCCUGGGACCUGGAGGGCAGACAGGAAGACAUGAGGGUGGGAGGAAAGCUAACUGAUUUGUACGAAGGAAAUUCAGAGCAAAACCCCUAAUACUUGAGGACUGAGAAGCAAAGCCGGCAGGACUGUCAGAGGCAUGAACAGGGUACUCAAGUGAAGACAGGUUGUAGUUCCACGGUUAUCGGUGUUAGCGAAAGCCACUUAAAAUCCUUGGGGAAGAGUCUGGGGAAGAGGGACAGGAAGAGACUCACAUUGUACCUGAACUAGGGCUAUAGAGCUGUAAUAACCAAGACAGCUCAAGCUUUGUUAACCAAAAAGGGUCUAAAACAUGCGAACUCAGCCUCUGGCUGAAGAGAAUAUAGUCUGAUGCACAAAACAUAGGCCACCAGGUUAUAUCCCCCACAGCCCAACACAGCUUCUCAACAUACAGAGACACGCUGAGCCGGGCAUGGUGGGUGCACACCUUUAGUCUCAGUGCUGGGGAGGCAGAAGCAGGUGGACCCCUGGGAGGUUAAGGCCAGCCUGGUUUACCCAGUAAGUGCCAGGGCUAUGUAAAGUCCCUGAGUUAAAAAAGAAAAAAAAAAAAAAGGGAGGGAGGGAAAUACACACUGAGAAAUAUCUGGCACAUAAGUGAUUUCCCCCAUCUGAAAGGUAAGAUGUGACAGCAGUAACAAGCUACUGCCGUUUCUAUGGUGGCUUGUUUUUUCUAACCAAGUUAUUAAAACCAAUUUCUUGCUUUUGUUUUAUUUGUUUGAUCCUGGCUGUCAUGUACCUCAAACUCACUAUUUAGCCAAGAUGGACCAUCAACCUCCUUAUUCUUCUACCUCCACCUCCAGAUGCAGGGGUUACAGGCACACGUGCCACACAUGCCCCUCCCACUUCCCGUUCUUCAUCUGGCACAGAUGUCUUUUAUCUAUCUCACUGAAGAGAUAUUAAAGACCCGGCUUCUGAAACACACAAGACAACUUGCCAAGACUAUGUUAUAUAAUCUUUAGUGUUUCCCCUUAGAAACCGUGCCUUGCAAGGUUAGGAAGGAGGCUGCAGGAGGCAGAGAUGGAAACUUAGUAACAAAAGAAAGGCUGUUUUGCAGGGCACCUGGGAAAAGGAGUCAGAGAACCCUGGCUACUUCCAGUUAGGACUUCUACUCACAGAUACUUAGUCCCUCGUUCCUGGUGGUUUUCAGCAUCUGAGAAACCAUGCAUGCCACACACUGAUUGGAAGAAUUCCCCAGCAGGUUCCAGACUCAAUCUCUAUGCACUCUCCCGGGCCUGCAUUCGGCAAACCUUGGCUCUCAGAGAUGGCUGUAGGGUGCCACCUGCACAGUCGCACUCUGAUGACUUGCUAGCUUGUGAGAAUGUUGAAGUUCAAGGUAAUUCAAAAGCGAGUAUCUUUAUUUAUUUUAGGACAGGGUCUUACUGUGUAGUGGUGGCUAGUCGGUCUGACAUUGAACUCACAGAGACUCCCCUCAUCUCUGCCUCACAAGUGCUGAGAUUAAAGACACGUGCCAGCUGAGCCUUUUAUUUUUUACAGCAGAGUUCUAUGAUGGCAUACUUCUAUCCCGCAACUUGGACAUCUAAUAACCGUACUUUUUUUUUUUUUUUUGCAAUGGUAUAAACUCUGGGGUAAAUAUAAGCAAAGUACCUUUAGAUAACUCAAUUAAAAUAAUUUAGAAAUAAACAGCCAUAAUCCCUAAAAUGGUGGCCAGAUCACAUGUAAGUCUCAACAAGAUAAAAGACGCAAAGACAGUAUUUUAUAAUCCAUCACAGCACAGGUCUUUCUGAUAAAGGGAUACACAUUUUGUUAAAUUCUGCGAGGUUCUUGAGAGAUUUUGUGAAGAACAAAUAGUUUUAGGAAGUGCGUGGUCCUCAGCAUCUUUCCAAGAUGGUUGUUUUGUCCUGGGCUCCAUCUGCUGCACGGGAACAAGGAAAAAUCCACGUCUGCACACUACUCACUCCAUGUGGAGACUGUGGUACUUAGCACUCACACCCUAGGCCAGGUCUGAACCCUACUCCAUCGGGGUGGGGCCUGGCCUUCUGGGUGAGGCAGAAGAGCCAAAGCAGCCAGUGUCCACUACAGUGCUGCAAAGCUUGACUCCAAGCACGUGUGGGGCAGCCCUAGCCUGCUACCGCCGUACAAGCGCCCAGAGCGGACUUCCUAAACCACUCCAUUCAGAGUACAGUUCUAAAGGUGUGCGGAACAGUUCAACAAUGAACCAAGGGGAUGGCUCAGAGGUUAAGAGCACUGACUAUUCUUUCAGAGGUCCUGAGUUCAAUUCCCAGCAACCACAUGGUGGCUCACAACCAUCUGGAAUGGGAUCCAAUGUUCUUUCUGGUGUGUACGCAAAUAAAUAAAUAAAUAAAUCUUUAAAAAAAAAAAAAAGAACAGAAGGUUAAUGAUGAACUCAGGCAGCCAUGGAGACCAGCGUGGAAAGCCUCUACUGCCAGCCCUUACUCCACAGUCCCUUUCUCCCUCCUUCCCCUCUCUGUCCCAGUCUAUUCCUCCGAGUUCAUUUAGUCCCCUCCUUGCCCUUGCUUAGCGGGUGGCAAUCCUAGAAGCUACAUCUGUUUGAGGCGGUGGGUGGGAAUGCACACAAGUGACACAUUAGAUGAGGGAAAUCAAGACUCAAGAAAGGAAACUGCUCAGCUCAAGCACGCACACAGAGAACGGCACCCGGUGCUCCAAGGGUAGAAGGGAGUCCUUGGCUUCACUCAGCAGACCAGGUGAAGCAGAGGCCGCUGGUUUCGGGAUCGCGACCUGUCAGGUGCCUACAGGCGUGGCCAUCCCUUGUAUCAAGAUCUGAAGAGGGACUGGAGGGAUGGCUCACCGGCUGAGAGCUACUGCUCUUUCAGAAGAUACAGUUUGGUUCCCAGGACCCCACUGGGCGGCUCACAAGCUCACUCCACUGGGUGCUUGUGGCCUCUGUAGGCAAUGCACUCGCUGGCACAACUUAUACAUAUACACACACAAUACACAGAAAUCCACAGGCACAGUGUUCACGCGCACACACGCACUCUGAAAGAAAUGUCUUCCAUAGGUACUAAUAAGAACCUUUAUGGUGGCUCAUAACCACCUGUAAUGAGAUCUGAUGCCGUCUUCUGGUGUGUCGGAACACAGUGAGAGUGUACUCACAUACAUAAAAUAAAUCUUUUUUAAAAAGUGGGGGGAGUACGAGGUUUUUCCUAUUUUAGAGCAUCAUUUUGAGUUCUGUACAAGAAUCCUCACCCAAAACUGUUCCCAUUUCUAAACUGUAAAUGUUUGGCCCAAGCAUCGCUGUUUUGUGAUGUGAGGUUCACUCUCUCCCUGGCUUGGGAACACACUGUCAGUGUAGGUAACAUGCUGCUGUAAGCUGUAAGCUACACAGUGCAGUGCUUGAUCAUAUACAGUGCCUGGCCGGGCUGUGUUUCUGUUGCUUGUUUCCCCUGCAAAUGUAAAAUAAUAAACUACUUAUUGCAGGCUUAAAGGGUUUUGCUGUCAGGUUAGCCCAGGGGCCUACCACUGUGAAGUAUUACUGAUAGGUCUGUAAGCUUUAAAAAAAAAAAUGUCUCACGUAGUCAUAGAUUUUAAACACUUGAUUCCCUGUUGGCGACCCUUUGGGGACUCUAGAUGGUACAGCCUUGUUGCAGGAAGUGCAGUAACUGGGGGUAGGUUUUGAAAUUAAAAACCAGUCCCGCUCUUCAGAUCGGUCUCUCUGCACCAUGCUUGCACCAGGAGGCAUGAGAGUGCACACGAGCACACAUGCACACACAGGCACAUGCACACGCACACGCGCGCGCGCGCACACACACACACACACACACACACACGCUGCUGCUCCUGCUGCUCGCUGCCCCACUUCUCUCUGGAUUGCCUUGAGGAUGGGGCUUUAUCACAGCUUGCUCUCCCUGGUUUUUUAAAGUAGGAACCAAAACACCUUUCGCACAUUCAAGAGCCAAGGGCAUUGAUUCUGGCCAGCGUACAAUCAAUGGUUUCUUUCACGAGAAAGGACGGCAAGAUACUUAAAUACAAUCUUUGUUGGGGAGUCCAAACCACAAGCGUGUGAUGUUAUGAAGCCAAAUUGUAUUUUCUGGAAACAGUCCUCAGAACCAUUGGUCAGCAACCACUGAGGAGUCGAUAAACGGCAAUGAGCUCUGGUGUCUCCUCUUUUAAAAUGGGACAGGAGCGAGAACACAGAACGGGGCUUUACUGCUGAGUUUCUGUGGUUUCUGAGUGACAGUUUGGUGUAAGGAUCGCAAGUGUCAGUUCCCACGCGGUAUGCCCACCUGACCUCCCUUCCUCUGACAACAUCUCUGGGGGCACACAGUGUUUCUGAGCCUUCUUCAAAGCCACACAUCCAAAUUCUGUAACCUGAGGAGACAGGGUCUCUGGUGGGUAGUCAGGUCAUGGUGGCAUACUUAUGAACAGGACAACUGCCCUUUUAAGGGACCCCAGGGAACCAUCCUGUUCUUUUGUAACACAAGGACAUGGUUGGCUGGCAACAGCACCCUGGAGAACAACCACGUGCGUGGACACCUUGACCUGGGCCUUCCCGCUUCCAGAACUUUGGCAACCACUACGUUCAUAAACUGCCUGCCGAGGGUAUGACGUCCCAGCAGCCCAGACUAAAAACUACUCUUGCCCUGUACUUAAGGGGGUACUGGCACAUGACUCCAGGGGUUAGUGGACAAAGACUGGACGCUUGAUUCCAGCUGGGCCAGAAUCCAGAAAGUGGCUCAUCUGUGCUAAUAAGGGACAUUUCGGGAAAUGCAAAGGUCAGUCUGUCUUUCCAGACAAGUUUGCUAAACUGGUGGGGUGUAAAACCGGCGCUCUGAGCAGCAGGCUGCUUCAGGGAUACCUGCCUGAGACUAAAGAAGAAGACAGAUUCCUUAUGGGUACCCAGAACCAGCGUCCCUGAAGAAAAUGCCCAACCUGCUCUCACUAUGACUCAGGGACUUCCUUUCUACAGAAUCUGGUUCAAGGGAGAGAAUUUUGUCAUUUGCAGCUAAAAGAAAGAUGCGUGGUGGGGCUGGUGGGAUGGCUCUGUGAGGAAAGGUGUUUUCCCUGCCACCCCGGAGAUGCCAGCUCCAUGCCUAGAAACCACAUAAAGAUUGGUCAAGAAAACUGACUUCAUAAUGUUCUACACCUGUGUCACAACAGGCAGGGACGCUCGCCCAUAUACAACAGCAGACUCUCCUUUAAGGUUCCUUCUUUUAAUUCUAAAAGGAAGGGUUGAAGUGAUGGCUAAUCAGUUACGAGCCCUGGCUGCUCUUCCAGAGGACCCAGGUUAGAUUCCCAGUUACAGGGCAGCUCAUGACUGGCUGGAACCCCAAUCCUAUGGACCUGAUGCCUUUUAGCGUCUACUGGGCACUGGGCCUACAUAUACAUCAUGCACACAGGCAAAACAUUUAUACACAUAAAGUAAAGUUUAAUUUUUUUAAAAAAAGGUAUGAGAAGACUGUAAAAUGAUGGUCUUUUUGCUAAAUAUCAGGGAAGUUCUAUUUUUCACUUAUAAGUAAAAAUAUUCCCUAUUACUAACCAUAUUUUAGUACUACCCUUACGUUGCUAUAAUUUUCUCUAGAAAACCGGAUAAAUGCUGGCAGAAACAAGCUGCCGUGCUUAUGCAGAGCACAACUUGAUGCUCAUUAUCCACAGAAAUCAAAAAGAUGGCAAAGGCAGACUGUGCUCUGGCCUAGCUGCAGACCAUCUGUCAUCGAAUUUAUAUCUCGAAGAAUCUUAACUCUUCAAGCCUCGAGUUACAGCCGAAUGCUGUGGCACAAAGACACACCCCACAGAGCAGAAUCACAACAUACCACUAGAUCUGAAAAGGUGGCCUAGGAACUACCUUCUGACUCAUACCGUGGCCGACAGCAACAGAAGCCACGAGGCAGACAGGCCGACAGGCAAGCAGACAGACUCACAGAUACCUGAAGCAAAGGCACUUCCCAUGUGCACCGUGCUUUGAUUUUAAUCAUUGGUGGUGCUGACCCACCAAACGGACUUCCUGAACCCUUACAGCUUCGGGAGCUAGCUAGGUAAGGGAUGGAGACGCAGGGGUGUAAGGCAGUCCCUACUAGUUCAGUUAGUGGCAAAGUGAAGAUACAACCGCAGUACCCAUCUUACUGUAUGAUAUGACACGAGACAGCUGUCGCCUAUACACAUUCCUGGACAGCAAGCUCCCCCGCCAACCCUAAGAAACCUGGGAAGAUGAUCCACAUGUCUGACCUAAGCCACUCUCCAUGGGUACAGUGUCCAGGUUUUUAGGGCCUCCUCGAGACCACUUAAGAAGGAUUCACAUCCAGUGGAGACCUUGAACCGACCUCAGUGGGAGAUCAUGUGACGUCUGUGUCUAGACUGCCAAGAGACAAGAACAGACCUAAUGUAUAAAUAGGAUCAUGUUGGUUUCAAGCUUAAAGAAUAUUUUCACGUCAAGAUCCCGGCACUGUUUGCUGAGAAGCGUAAGGCUGAAAGAUAUCUUUCUUGGUGGGCAUCAAGCUUUACCACCUAGACCCUAUCAUGGCAGGGAGGGAAAGGGAAGGGAGCGGUAGCCACCCCUCGCACAGUCACCAGCCACUUCUCUAAUCCAGAUGCUGGAAAAGGUCAGGUUAGUGAGGAGGGGGCUGAGCCAAGCUCGGAGAAUAUGUGGACAGAAUUUAACAUGGAGAGUUGACGUAUGGAAGCUUCCCGAGUGGCUGCAAUACUAGAUCCCUAUUCAACAGCAAGUCAUAGACCUGGAUGGUGGUGGUAACGGGGUUGGGAUAAAACGGACAGAGGACACGGCUGUUAACAAAGAUGUUAACAAGUCUUAGUUUAAAAUAAUGGAACACCCUAUAUAUUUACACUUGCUUCCCACAAUACAAAAAAUGUUAAGCCUAUCAGCAGUUUAAUUACUAUAAACAUCUGCUCUCCCUGUAUUUACUUUCUACAACUUAGUUCUCCUCUGUUACAAGUUGCUUGGAACCCUGUAUACAGUAGAUGCUUCAGAACAGGUGGGUCCAUCUCUCCACAUGCUUUGUCUACUAUGCUUGCCUUAGACAACAAUGCAAAAUUAAACAAAGAAAAGAUACCAUACUGCCAAAAUUUUGGUUAAUUCAUAAGAAGGAUUUUUCUAAAAAUGAAGCAUUAAGAAAGAUCAAAGAACGAACCCCUUCCACGCCUGCAUUUUUUUUUUUUUUUUUUUUUGUGAAGGCCACUGUUUAUAAGCUAUCUUGUCAGUUUUAAAGAGUGACUUUCCAGACCGCAAAAGCAUCCUGUCUGCCUACUGUGUGGUCGCUCAAAUGUAAGAGCAGAGAUGCGAGAUGCCUACUGUGUGGUAACCCAAGUGUAAGAGCAGAGAUGCCUACUGUGUGGUAACCCAAGUGUAAGAGCAGAGAUGCCUACUGUGUGGUAACCCAAGUGUAAGAGCAGUGGGGAACAGCAAGAAGUCAUCUGGCUUCUGGGCUUUCGGGUGCUUUGCUGAAGGUGAGCCUGUUCAUACAGAUCUCUGCAGAUCUGAGCACCAAGACCCCCUCCAUCACACAAGGUGACAACACCCAUCUGUGUCACGUAGUAAGCUAAUAAGCACUUCCUAAAUGUGGCUGAUUUAACACGUGACCAUCAAUGUAACUUAAUACAUAUCAUCUAGAUUUCUCCCACUUUUAUUUAAAAUUACUUGAUGGCUGUCUGACCUUAUGUGAAAUACAUAUCUUAAAA